AAGACUAUAGACCUGCGGAGUACCUGCGGAAGGAUCAUUGACAAAUCUAAAACACAAUUUGAUGUUGUGAUGAUGAGAAUUGGGGUGAUGAUGAUGAUGGGGGGAGGGCACAGAAUUGUGUUGUAAGGCGGGCGGUGUCGCAAGCUUUACAUAUGCAAGCCUUUGUUUCUCUUUCUUCUUCUUCCUUUCCUUUCUCUCACACACAUCAAAAUUCUAACCUGUGAAUCGGCAGUGCGCAAG
rnacentral:misc_RNA from 1 species